ACAACUUAAUAACAAAAUGCAUACCAAAUAAAUAUAGUUGUACAAGUGAGAACAAAAUUACGAAACACAAAACAAAAGAACACGAAAAGAAUUUGUGCAGGCCGGUUGAAUUGCCGUCGGCUAGUACUCAGUAACAUAUUUUUUGAAAAAAGAAUUAUCAAAAGAGAGAAAUAUUUGUUCGAAAUAAAAAAUAAAAAGUUUAGAUUGUGUGCUUAAAUUUCCCCUUUCCCGAAGAUAUAAAUAUAUAUAUACAUAGUACAUAGGUAUCCAAAUUAUUUCAUUGUUGGCGGUUCCUCCAAGGAAACUGGAAAAAUGUUUGAUCCCAUCUGAUAAAAGUGCUUCUUUGCCUGCCGACACCAAUGAGGAAUCUUCAUUUGCUGUUGCGGUAGAUGUCGAAAAUAUUGCGCCGCCGAAUAAACGCGAAGUAAUCUCAGGUAUGGAAGUUUUUUGAAAAAAAUGCUAAGAAAAAGUUUGCGAAAUGCCUGCUUUGUGGGCAGCAAUAUGAAACGAGCGGGAACACCUCAAAUAUGCAAGAGCAUUUAAAGCGUGCCCAUCCUCUCAAAAUUGUUAAACACAAAUCGGAGACAAUUGAAAAAUUUAUAGAGCGCACGGAUUUAUAUGAAACCUCGUCUUCUAGAAAGGCAUUCUUAGAUAGAAAACUGAAAACGAAAUGGUUGCAAGCGACUUGCCACUAUUAUUUUCAUGAAUUAAGGCAAAAUAUCGUGAAUUUUAUUUAGGUUAUUAAGUACAAAUGUUUACAAAAUUCAUUCUUUUUUAUAUGAGCUUCCAGCAAUUUUGAAUGUGUAAAGAAAAAUAAGCUAGCUUUAAGCAACAUGUGAUAAUUUGGAAAUAAAUAUUGAAUUGAAUUGAA